GAUUGCCAGGUCUAGCACUAAUGCACCGGAUCCCAUCAGAACUCCGCAGUUAAGCGUGCUUGGGCGAGAGUAGUACUAGGAUGGGUGACCUCCUGGGAAGUCCUCGUGUUGCACCCC
rnacentral:rRNA from 1 species